GAUAACUUAUAUAGUCUUAUAUUACUAUUUACUAAUUAUAAUUUAAUAUUUAUUAUAUAAGCUAAAUACAUCUUAAUUAGUCAAUUAACUUUUAAAAUACUUAAAUAUAACUUUUACAGGUUGAUAUCGCCAUUCCUGAAGUGUUUAUUUGUGGGCUUCUGGGCUCUAUGCUUAUAUUUCUAUUUAGUGCAGAUGGAAACAUGGAAACAUGCAGCCUGAAAAACCUAUUUGUGAGCAGAUGCUCUAGUUGUUACGCUUGAGUGUAGGAACGCUGGCGAUUAUUAGACUGUGCAGUAUCAAGUUCACCCUCUCUGUUUCUUCUUUUUUCCCCUGUGUCUGUUCCAACUGAUGCUAUUUGCAAGGAGAUUCAAGACCCAAUGCCAUGUUUUAUGAAAUUAUGUUUAUUAUGUAAUUUUGAUACUUUUUUUGGGAUUUAUUUUGUGAUUUUGUAUUGUGGAUUGAAAUUUGUGGAGUGAACUACAAAAUAGGUUGUAUAUAUUAUUAAUA